rnacentral:rRNA from 1 species
GAUGAACGCUGGCAGCGUGCCUAAUACAUGCAAGUCGAGCGAACAGAUAAGGAGCUUGCUCCUUUGACGUUAGCGGCGGACGGGUGAGUAACACGUGGGUAACCUACCUAUAAGACUGGGAUAACUUCGGGAAACCGGAGCUAAUACCGGAUAACAUUUGGAACCGCAUGGUUCUAAAGUGAAAGAUGGUUUUGCUAUCACUUAUAGAUGGACCCGCGCCGUAUUAGCUAGUUGGUAAGGUAACGGCUUACCAAGGCAACGAUACGUAGCCGACCUGAGAGGGUGAUCGGCCACACUGGAACUGAGACACGGUCCAGACUCCUACGGGAGGCAGCAGUAGGGAAUCUUCCGCAAUGGGCGAAAGCCUGACGGAGCAACGCCGCGUGAGUGAUGAAGGGGUUCGGCUCGUAAAACUCUGUUAUUAGGGAAGAACAAAUGUGUAAGUAACUGUGCACGUCUUGACGGUACCUAAUCAGAAAGCCACGGCUAACUACGUG